AUUGAACGCUAGCGGCAGGCUUAACACAUGCAAGUCGAGCGAGUGGCGGACGGGUGAGUAAUGUCUGGGAAACUGCCUGAUGGAGGGGGAUAACUACUGGAAACGGUAGCUAAUACCGCAUACCAUCGGAUGUGCCCCGAUGGGAUUAGCUAGUAGGUGGGGUAACGGAUCACUUAGGCUACGAUCCCUAGCUGGUCUGCGAGGAUGACCAGCUCCACUGGAACUUAGACACCGUCCAUACUCAUACGGCAGGCAGCAGUGGGGCAUAUUGCACAAUGGGCGCAAGCCUGAUGCAGCCAUGCCGCGUGUAUGAAGAAGUCCCUAUGGUUGUAAAGUACUUUCAGUCGGGAUGCGUUACCGACAGAAGAAGCACCGGCUAACUCCGUGCCAGCAGCCGCGGUAAUUC
rnacentral:rRNA from 1 species